rnacentral:rRNA from 1 species
GCAUAAGACCACAGUGUCGCAUGGCACAGGGGUCAAAGGAUUUAUCCGCUGAAAGAUGGGCUCGCGUCCGAUUAGCUAGAUGGUGAGGUAACGGCCCACCAUGGCGACGAUCGGUAGCCGGACUGAGAGGUUGAACGGCCACAUUGGGACUGAGACACGGCCCAGACUCCUACGGGAGGCAGCAUG